GUUAUAGGGUCAAGCGAACAAGUGCAUGUGGUGGAUGCCUUGGCGAUCACAGGCGAUGAAGGACGCGGUAGCCUGCGAAAAGCCCCGGGGAGCUGGCAAACAAGCUUUGAUCCGGGGAUGUCCGAAUGGGGAAACCCACUCCUUAUGGAGUAUCCAUGGCUGAAUACAUAGGCCAUGCGAAGCGAACGCGGUGAACUGAAACAUCUAAGUAACCGCAGGAAAAGAAAUCAACCGAGAUUCCCAAAGUAGUGGCGAGCGAAAUGGGAUGAGCCUUGUACUCUUUAUUUGUAUUGUUAGCCGAACGCUCUGGAAAGUGCGGCCAUAGCAGGUGAUAGCCCUGUAGGCGAAAACAGUAUGAAAGAACUAGGUGUACGACAAGUAGGGCGGGACACGUGAAAUCCUGUCUGAAGAUGGGGGGACCAUCCUCCAAGGCUAAAUACUCGUGAUCGACCGAUAGUGAACCAGUACCGUGAGGGAAAGGCGAAAAGAACCCCGGGAGGGGAGUGAAAUAGAUCCUGAAACCGCAUGCAUACAAACAGUCGGAGCCUCUGCAGGGGUGACGGCGUACCUUUUGUAUAAUGGGUCAGCGACUUACGUUCAGUAGCAAGCUUAACCGUAUAGGGCAGGCGUAGCGAAAGCGAGUCCGAAUAGGGCGUUCAGUUGCUGGGCGUAGACCCGAAACCAGGUGAUCUAUCCAUGGCCAGGAUGAAGGUGCGGUAACACGUACUGGAGGUCCGAACCCACUAACGUUGAAAAGUUAGGGGAUGAGCUGUGGAUAGGGGUGAAAGGCUAAACAAACCUGGAAAUCACGGGAGACAGACAUCGGGUGCUAACGUCCGGUGUCAAGAGGGAAACAACCCAGACCGCCAGCUAAGGUCCCCAAAUAUGGCUAAGUGGGAAACGAAGUGGGAAGGCUAAAACAGUCAGGAGGUUGGCUUAGAAGCAGCCACCCUUUAAAGAAAGCGUAAUAGCUCACUGAUCGAGUCGUCCUGCGCGGAAGAUGUAACGGGGCUAAGCCAUAUACCGAAGCUGCGGAUGCGAGCUUGCUCGCAUGGUAGGAGAGCGUUCCGUAAGCCUGCGAAGGUGCCUUGUAAAGGGUGCUGGAGGUAUCGGAAGUGCGAAUGCUGACAUGAGUAGCGAUAAAGGGGGUGAAAGGCCCCCUCGCCGUAAGCCCAAGGUUUCCUACGCAACGUUCAUCGGCGUAGGGUGAGUCGGCCCCUAAGGCGAGGCAGAAAUGCGUAGCUGAUGGGAAGCAGGUCAAUAUUCCUGCACCGUCGUUAGAUGCGAUGGGGGGACGGAUCGCGGAAGGUUGUCCGGGUGUUGGAAGUCCCGGUCGCUGCAUUGGAGAAGGCGCUUAGGCAAAUCCGGGCGCGGAAUUCAAGGGUGUGGCGCGAGCUCCUUCGGGAGCGAAGCAAUUGGAAGUGGUUCCAAGAAAAGCCUCUAAGCUUCAGUCUAACGAUGACCGUACCGCAAACCGACACAGGUGGGCGAGAUGAGUAUUCUAAGGCGCUUGAGAGAACUCGGGAGAAGGAACUCGGCAAAUUGGUACCGUAACUUCGGGAUAAGGUACGCCCUUGUAGCUUGACUGGCCUGCGCCAGGAGGGUGAAGGGGUUGCAAUAAACUGGUGGCUGCGACUGUUUAAUAAAAACACAGCACUCUGCAAACACGAAAGUGGACGUAUAGGGUGUGACGCCUGCCCGGUGCCGGAAGAUUAAAUGAUGGGGUGCAAGCUCUUGAUUGAAGUCCCGGUAAACGGCGGCCGUAACUAUAACGGUCCUAAGGUAGCGAAAUUCCUUGUCGGGUAAGUUCCGACCUGCACGAAUGGCGUAACGAUGGCCACACUGUCUCCUCCCGAGACUCAGCGAAGUUGAAGUGUUUGUGAUGAUGCAAUCUACCCGCGGCUAGACGGAAAGACCCCAUGAACCUUUACUGUAGCUUUGCAUUGGACUUUGAACCGAUCUGUGUAGGAUAGGUGGGAGGCUAUGAAACCGGAACGCUAGUUUCGGUGGAGCCGUCCUUGAAAUACCACCCUGGUUUGUUUGAGGUUCUAACCUUGGUCCGUGAUCCGGAUCGGGGACAGUGCAUGGUAGGCAGUUUGACUGGGGCGGUCUCCUCCCAAAGGGUAACGGAGGAGUACGAAGGUACGCUAGGUACGGUCGGAAAUCGUGCUGAUAGUGCAAUGGCAUAAGCGUGCUUAACUGCGAGACCGACAAGUCGAGCAGGUGCGAAAGCAGGUCAUAGUGAUCCGGUGGUUCUGUAUGGAAGGGCCAUCGCUCAACGGAUAAAAGGUACUCUGGGGAUAACAGGCUGAUACCGCCCAAGAGUUCAUAUCGACGGCGGUGUUUGGCACCUCGAUGUCGGCUCAUCUCAUCCUGGGGCUGUAGCCGGUCCCAAGGGUAUGGCUGUUCGCCAUUUAAAGAGGUACGUGAGCUGGGUUUAAAACGUCGUGAGACAGUUUGGUCCCUAUCUGCCGUGGGCGUUGGAUAUUUGAAGGGGGCUGCUCCUAGUACGAGAGGACCGGAGUGGACGAACCUCUGGUGUACCGGUUGUGACGCCAGUCGCAUCGCCGGGUAGCUAUGUUCGGAAGAGAUAACCGCUGAAAGCAUCUAAGCGGGAAACUCGCCUUAAGAUGAGAUAUCCCUGGAGGCUUGACCUCCUUGAAGGGUCGUUCGAGACCAGGACGUUGAUAGGUCGGGUGUGUAAGCGCAGUAAUGCGUUCAGCUAACCGAUACUAAUUGCCCGUAAGGCUUGAUCCUAUAACA
rnacentral:rRNA from 1 species